UACGUAGGUGGCGAGCGUUGUCCGGAAUUACUGGGUGUAAAGGGCGUGUAGGCGGGAAUAUAAGUCAGAUGUGAAAUUCCAUGGCUCAACUGUGGCGCUGCAUCUGAAACUAUAUUUCUUGAGUGCUGGAGAGGAAAGCGGAAUUCCUAGUGUAGCGGUGAAAUGCGUAGAUAUUAGGAGGAACACCAGUGGCGAAGGCGGCUUUCUGGACAGUAACGUGGAGCGCUGACG
rnacentral:rRNA from 1 species